UAAUGAAAUGGUUAUAAAACAAAAAAAAUAAAAAAGAAAUUUUAUUAAAAAAUGAUGGCCAAUUAAAUGGCCUUGUUAAGUUAUCUUAUAAAAAUAUGUUGAAAGAUAAAGAAAUAAAAAUAAAAUUUGAACCGUCUAAUUUUAUUUUAAAAUCGAAAGAAAAACAAAUUGUAAAUGUUAUUAUAUAUUCAAAAGUACCACAAAAAUAUGAAUCAAUUAUAACAUGUUCUAUCAUUGAAAUACCAAAAAGGGUAGAAAAAAAAAUUAAUUACGAGUUAGAAAAAAAAGUUACUUUUGAAUCUGAAAUAAAAAAAAACAAUUUACAAACAACUAUUAAUCCUUAUGAAACAAAAAAAAAACAGAAAAUGAAGAAAAUUUUGUAUCAAAAAUAAUUAAAAUAUUAAACAAAGAAAAUAUACAAGUCUGUUUAAUAAAAAAACAGAUUAACGCACAUAUGAUUUUUGUUUUACCACAUAUUAUUAUUUUGUGUGACCAAAAUAAGGAAAUUUUUAAUAAAGAUAUAAUCAAUUUUGGGAAUAUAACAUUAGGCCAAAAAAUAACUAAAACGUUUUUUUUUGAAAAAUUUGACAAAUGCUCCAAUUAACGUAGUGGUAAUCUUUUUUUGUGCGCCUGUGGACGAUAUAUAUACGUGGUUAUGCAUGUACAAAAGGUAGUAGUAAAAUACUAAGGUGUGGUAUAUCUUUGGUUUCUCCCCCACCUUAUAUUUACUUAUUCUGUUUUUUUUUUUUUCAUCUAUGUUACAUUUAUUCCUCAUUCUUUUUUUUUUUUUUUUUUUUUUUUUUUUUUCUUUUUCUUUUUAAGGCCAAAAAACAAAAAGGGAACAGCGUUUUUACAUUUCCCAUCGAUAAAUUAACAUUAAAAGAAAAAAGUACAGAAGCCGUUUCGAUUAAUGUUAACGGCAAUAAUCCUGUUAGUAAUUAUACAGAAGUAAUUCGAUUUAAAGCAUGUAACGAUUAUUCUAUUGAACUUUUUUUAUUAUGUGAAAUUAAAAAUAUAAAAUUGGUUUUACAGAAGACUUUAUAUAUAUUUGAAAAUACCAAAAUAGGAGAUACAAUAAAUGAAAAAAUAGUAAUAAGAAAUGAUGAAGAUACAGACUUAGAUGUAGAAAUUAUAAAUUCAGGAUAUUUUUUUUAUAUAAAAAAUAAAAAAUUUAUAAUAAAAAAAAAUAGUUUUCAUUCUAUAUAUCUAGUAUGUAAUUGUAUUUAUCCAAUCAAUGUAUAUAAAAGAAUAUAUUUUUUAGUACAUUUAAAUAAAAAAAUAUUUUAUAUAGAUGUUAUUUGUAACUUUUCUAUAAGUUAUAAAAUGCCUCCUUUGUCUAUUCAUCACAUAUAUAGAUAUAAAAAUUUAAUUCAUGACAAAAAUAUAGUAUACAAUUCAUAUUAUGAAAAAAAUGAGUAUAUUGAUAUAUGGGAUUUUCCAGUCGAGUUUGAUUCGUAUGAAGAUACUACAUACGAGUUGCUGAAUGAUAUAUUGGAAAUAAGUGAAAAAGACGUAUUUGCAGUACCUAAAGAAUUAGAAGUACAAGAAAUGGAAGAAAAAGAUUUAAUGUUAAUAAAUAAAACGCCAGUUGAAUAUACAUGUGUAUGGUUAAAUGCAGUUGAUAAACAGGAGCAGGGAACUUUUGAAGUAACUCCUAAAGAAGCACCGUUGUUGCCAUUCGGCUAUCAAAAAUUUAGAGUAAAAAACAUAAAAGGUUUAAAAAAAAAAUAUGUAUGUGAAGUAUACGAAUGUAUUGUGUUUCCGUCUAAUAACAAAGACUAUACGAAAUGUAACAGCAAGACAUUAUUAGCACCUUUUUUUAUAUAUGCUACUUUUUUUCAAUUUAAUACAAAAUAUAUAUGUGAAACAGAAAACGUGCAAGACAGUUUAGUUUUUUAUCCAAAAAAAUAUAUCCUUUUUAAAUAUAAUUGAGGAAGAAUAUAGUUAUGCUAUUGUCAAAUUUGAAAAUAACUCAGAAGUUACUCAAAUUAUUGAUUUCACUCCAUAUAAAAUGAAGCCGAAAGCAUAAAGUAGUAACCGG
rnacentral:lncRNA from 1 species